rnacentral:rRNA from 1 species
GACGAACGCUGGCGGCGUGCCUAAUACAUGCAAGUCGAGCGAGCUUGCCUAGAUGAAUUUGGUGCUUGCACCAGAUGAAACUAGAUACAAGCGAGCGGCGGACGGGUGAGUAACACGUGGGUAACCUGCCCAAGAGACUGGGAUAACACCUGGAAACAGAUGCUAAUACCGGAUAACAACACUAGACGCAUGUCUAGAGUUUAAAAGAUGGUUCUGCUAUCACUCUUGGAUGGACCUGCGGUGCAUUAGCUAGUUGGUAAGGCAACGGCUUACCAAGGCAAUUAUGCAUAGCCGAGUUGAGAGACUGAUCGGCCACAUUGGGACUGAGACACGGCCCAAACUCCUACGGGAGGCAGCAGUAGGGAAUCUUCCACAAUGGACGCAAGUCUGAUGGAGCAACGCCGCGUGAGUGAAGAAGGGUUUCGGCUCGUAAAGCUCUGUUGGUAGUGAAGAAAGAUAGAGGUAGUAACUGGCCUUUAUUUGACGGUAAUUACUUAGAAAGUCACGGCUAACUACGUG